UAGAUUUGGAGGGAGAAUGGUGUCAUAAAG
rnacentral:piRNA from 1 species